GACGAACGCUGGCGGCGUGCUUAACACAUGCAAGUCGAACGGAAAGGCCCUUCGGGGUACUCGAGUGGCGAACGGGUGAGUAACACGUGGGUGAUCUGCCCUGCACUUUGGGAUAAGCCUGGGAAACUGGGUCUAAUACCGGAUAGGACUACGGCCUGCAUGGGUUGUGGUGGAAAGCUUUUGCGGUGUGGGAUGGGCCCGCGGCCUAUCAGCUUGUUGGUGGGGUGAUGGCCUACCAAGGCGACGACGGGUAGCCGGCCUGAGAGGGUGACCGGCCACACUGGGACUGAGAUACGGCCCAGACUCCUACGGGAGGCAGCAGUGGGGGAAUAUUGCACAAUGGGCGCAAGCCUGAUGCAGCGACGCCGCGUGGGGGGAUGACGGCCUUCGGUUGUAAACCUCUUCUAGCAGGGACGAAGGGUGGACUGAC
rnacentral:rRNA from 1 species